rnacentral:rRNA from 1 species
GACGAACGCUGGCGGCGUGCUUAACACAUGCAAGUCGAACGGUAAGGCCCUUCGGGGUACACGAGUGACGAACGGGUGAGUAACACGUGGGUGAUCUACCCUGCACUUCGGGAUAAGCCUGGGAAACUGGGUCUAAUACCGGAUAGGACCACGGCCUGCAUGGGUGGUGGUGGAAAGCUGUUGCGGUGUGGGAUGGGCCCGCGGCCUAUCAGCUUGUUGGGGGGGUGAUGGCCUACCAAGGCGACGACGGGUAGCCGGCCUGAGAGGGUGACCGGCAACACUGGGACUGAGAUACGGCCCAGACUCCUACGGGAGGCAGCAGUGGGGAAUAUUGCACAAUGGGCGCAAGCCUGAUGCAGCGACGCCGCGUGAGGGAUGACGGCCUUCGGGUUGUAAACCUCUUUCAGCACCGACGAAGCGCAAGUGACGGUAGGUGCAGAAGAAGGACCGGCCAACUACGUGCCAGCCGCCGCCGUAA